UACGAAGGGGGCUAGCGUUGUUCGGAAUUACUGGGCGUAAAGCGCGCGCAGGCGGUUCGAUAAGUUGGGGGUGAAAUCCCCGGGCUCAACCCGGGAAUGGCCUUCAAGACUGUCGAUCUAGAGGACGAGAGAGGUGAGUGGAAUUCCCAGUGUAGAGGUGAAAUUCGUAGAUAUUGGGAAGAACACCGGUGGCGAAGGCGGCUCACUGGCUCGUUUCUGACGCUGAGGCGCGAAAGCGUGGGGAGCAAACAGG
rnacentral:ncRNA from 2 species